rnacentral:rRNA from 1 species
CACGUAGGGUGCGAGCGUUGUCCGGAAUUAUUGGGCGUAAAGAGCUCGUAGGCGGUGUGUCGCGUCGGCCGUGAGAACCUGCAGCUCAACUGUGGGCGUGCGGGCGAUACGGGCAGACUAGAGUACUGCAGGGGAGACUGGAAUUCCUGGUGUAGCGGUGGAAUGCGCAGAUAUCAGGAGGAACACCGGUGGCGAAGGCGGGUCUCUGGGCAGUAACUGACGCUGAGGAGCGAAAGCGUGGGGGAGCGAACGGG